rnacentral:ncRNA from 2 species
GUAGCAUCGUCGCGUCGCGGUUCGACCCCCUCCGGAGGGUCGUCGCAAGAGGGAACCAGGUGCGAGUCCUGGACUGCCCCGCAGCGGUAUGUGGGAACGAGCGCGUCACGAAGCACUGGGCGGAUGUGCCUGGGAAGCGACGCCGGUAGGUGCCUUGCACGAGGCGAGCCCGCGAGUCCGAAGACCUGCCGUGACCGCAGGGCCUGC